CCUACGGGAGGCAGCAGUGAGGAAUAUUGGUCAAUGGACGGAAGUCUGAACCAGCCAUGCCGCGUGGAGGAAGAAGGUCCUAUGGGUUGUAAACUCCUUUUGUUCCAGAGUAAUAACCCCCAUGCGUGGGGGGAUGAGAGUAUGGGGCGAAUAAGCAUCGGCUAACUCCGUGCCAGCAGCCGCGGUAAU
rnacentral:rRNA from 1 species